ensembl:snoRNA LOC120100412 small nucleolar RNA SNORA17
UCUGCCCCUAGAGGUGUUGUAGGUAUGGCUGCUGUGUCACAUGUGUGUCAGUAGGUGGCAGAGAGGAGAGAGGCUGUCCCUAUGCUCAGUGCUCUGACCUGUGAACAUCUGAAUGAUUAGUGGUCUUACAGU